UACAGAGGUGGCAAGCGUUGUUCGGAAUUACUGGGCGUAAAGGGCGCGUAGGCGGCCUACUAAGUCAGACGUGAAAUCCCCCGGCUUAACCUGGGAACUGCGUCUGAUACUGGAAGGCUUGAGGAUGGGAGAGGGAUGUAGAAUUCCAGGUGUAGCGGUGAAAUGCGUAGAUAUCUGGAGGAACACCGGUGGCGAAGGCGGCAUCCUGGACCGGUAUUGACGCUGAGGCGCGAAAGCCAGGGGAGCAAACGGG
rnacentral:rRNA from 1 species